rnacentral:rRNA from 1 species
GUGCAAGAGGCGAACCAGGGGAACUGAAACAUCUAAGUACCCUGAGGAAAAAGAAAUCAACCGAGAUUCCCUUAGUAGUGGCGAGCGAACGGGGAUUAGCCCUUAAGUUGGUUUUGAGGUUAGUAAAAGGCUCUGGAAAGUGCCGCCAUAGUGGGUGAUAGCCCCGUAUACGAAAACCUCUUAUCAAUGAAAUCGAGUAGGACGGCGCACGUGAAACGUUGUCUGAAUAUGGGGGGACCAUCCUCCAAGGCUAAAUACUACUGACUGACCGAUAGUGAACCAGUACCGUGAGGGAAAGGCGAAAAGAACCCCGGAGAGGGGAGUGAAAUAGAACCUGAAACCGUAUGCGUACAAGCAGUGGGAGCCCACUUUGUUGGGGUGACUGCGUACCUUUUGUAUAAUGGGUCAGCGACUUAUAUUCAGUGGCGAGCUUAACCGAAUAGGGGAGGCGUAGCGAAAGCGAGUCUUAAUAGGGCGCUUUAGUCGCUGGGUAUAGACCCGAAACCGGG